AAUGAGUGCUGGGGUAGGGGGUGUCCCACUCCUGGUUUGGGGCCAGGAUGCCUGGGUCCCACCAGCACCCACUGCCA